rnacentral:rRNA from 1 species
GACGAACGCUGGCGGCGUGCUUAACACAUGCAAGUCGAACGGAAAGGCCCUGCUUUUGUGGGGUGCUCGAGUGGCGAACGGGUGAGUAACACGUGAGUAACCUGCCCUUGACUUUGGGAUAACUUCAGGAAACUGGGGCUAAUACCGGAUAGGAGCUCCUGCUGCAUGGUGGGGGUUGGAAAGUUUCGGCGGUUGGGGAUGGACUCGCGGCUUAUCAGCUUGUUGGUGGGGUAGUGGCUUACCAAGGCUUUGACGGGUAGCCGGCCUGAGAGGGUGGCCGGCCCCAUUGGGACUUAGAUACGGCCCAGACUCCUACGGGAGGCAGCAGUGGGGAAUAUUGCACAAUGGGCGCAAGCCUGAUGCAGCAACGCCGCGUGCGGGAUGACGGCCUUCGUGUUGUAAACCGCUUUCGCCUGUGACGAAGCGUGAGUGACGGUAAUGGGUAAAGAAGCACCGGCUAACUACGUG